AGAGUUUGAUCCUGGCUCAGGAUGAACGCUGGCGGCGUGCCUAACACAUGCAAGUCGAGCGAAACUGUUACGAUGAAGUUUUCUGAUGGAAUGUUUAUUGACUGAGCGGGGGACAGGUGAGAAACACGUGGGUAACCUGCCUCAUACACGGGGAUAACACUUCUAAAUGACUGCUAAUACCCCAUAAACACACACAAGCGCAUGGGUCCGAGUGAAAAACCCACACGGGAUGAGAUAGACCCCCGUCUGAUAAUCUAUUGGGAGGGGUAACGGCCCCCCCACGCGACGAUCAUUAUCCCACCUGAGAGGGUGACGCGGCCACAUUGUGACUAAGACACAGCCCCCACUCCUGGGGGAGGCAGCGGUGGGGGAUAUUGCACAAUGGGGGACAUCAUGAUGCAGCGACGCGGGGUGAGUGAAGUAGUAUUUUGGUAUGUAAUGCUUUAUCAGCAGGGAAGAAAAAAGAGGGUCCUUGACUAGGAAGCCCGGGUUAGUUAGGUGCCACCAGCGGCGUUAAUAGUUAGGGGCCAAGCUUUUUCGGGAUUUAUUGGGUGUAAAGGGAGGGUAGAGGGCAAUCCAAUUCGGAAGUGAAAUACCGGGGCUUACCCUGGGAAUUGUUUUGGAAACUGUAUGGUUGGAGUCAUGGAGAGGUAAGGGGAAUUCUUAGUGUAGGGGUGAAAUGGGUAGAUAUUAGGAGGACCCCCAGUGGGGAAGGGGGCUUAUUGGACAGUAACUGACGUUGAGGUUGGAAAGCGUGGGGACCAACCAGGAUUAGAUCCCUUGUUAUUCCACCCGUGUAAACGAUGAAUAUUAGGGUUGGUGGGCAAGGCCUCCCCGGUGCCGUAGCAAAACGCAGUAAGUAUUCCACCUGGGGAGUACGUUCGCAAGAAUGAAACUCAAAGGAAUUGACGGGGACCCGCACAAGCGGUGGAGCAUGGGGUUAAUUCGAAGGCAAGCGGAGAACCUUUCCAGACUUUGACCUUCCCGAUGGACGGCCAGGAACGGGUCCCGCCCUUUUGGGGCAGGCGAGACAGGUGGUGCAUGGUUGUCGUCAGCUCGUGUCGUGAGAUGUUGGGUUAAGUCCCGCAACGAGCGCAACCCCUGUCUUCAGUAGCCAGCAGGUGGAGCUGGGCACUCUGGGGGGACUGCCGGGGACAACCCGGAGGAAGGUGGGGAUGACGUCAAAUCAUCAUGCCCCUUAUGAUUUGGGCGACACACGUGCUACAAUGGCGCAGACAGAGGGAAGCGAACCGGCGAGGGGGAGCGAAUCCCAAAAACGGCGCCCCAGUUCGGAUUGUAGUCUGCAACCCGACUACAUGAAGCCGGAAUCGCUAGUAAUCGCGGAUCAGAACGCCGCGGUGAAUACGUUCCCGGGUCUUGCACACACCGCCCGUCA
rnacentral:rRNA from 1 species